GCUGGCGGCAGGCCUAACACAUGCAAGUCGAGCGGCAGCGGGAAAGUAGCUUGCUACUUUUGCCGGCGAGCGGCGGACGGGUGAGUAAUGCCUGGGGAUCUGCCCAGUCGAGGGGGAUAACAGUUGGAAACGACUGCUAAUACCGCAUACGCCCUACGGGGGAAAGGAGGGGACCUUCGGGCCUUUCGCGAUUGGAUGAACCCAGGUGGGAUUAGCUAGUUGGUGGGGUAAUGGCUCACCAAGGCGACGAUCCCUAGCUGGUCUGAGAGGAUGAUCAGCCACACUGGAACUGAGACACGGUCCAGACUCCUACGGGAGGCAGCAGUGGGGAAUAUUGCACAAUGGGGGAAACCCUGAUGCAGCCAUGCCGCGUGUGUGAAGAAGGCCUUCGGGUUGUAAAGCACUUUCAGCGAGGAGGAAAGGUUGGCGCCUAAUACGUGUCAACUGUGACGUUACUCGCAGAAGAAGCACCGGCUAACUCCGUGC
rnacentral:rRNA from 1 species